rnacentral:rRNA from 1 species
UACGAAGGGGGCUAGCGUUGUUCGGAUUUACUGGGCGUAAAGCGCACGUAGGCGGUUUGUUAAGUCAGGGGUGAAAUCCCGGAGCUCAACUCCGGAACUGCCUUUGAUACUGGCAAGCUAGAGUCCGGAAGAGGUAAGUGGAACUCCUAGUGUAGAGGUGGAAUUCGUAGAUAUUAGGAAGAACACCAGUGGCGAAGGCGACUUACUGGACACAUAUUGACGCUGAGGUGCGAAGCGUGGGGAGCAAACAGG